rnacentral:rRNA from 1 species
UACGUAGGGUGCGAGCGUUAAUCGGAAUUACUGGGCGUAAAGCGUGCGCAGGCGGUGAUGUAAGACCGAUGUGAAAUCCCCGGGCCUUAACCUGGGAACUGCAUUGGUGACUGCAUCGCUCGAGUAUGGCAGAGGGGGGUAGAAUUCCACGUGUAGCAGUGAAAUGCGUAGAGAUGUGGAGGAAUACCGAUGGCGAAGGCAGCCCCCUGGGUCAAUACUGACGCUCAGGCACGAAAGCGUGGGGAGCAAACAGG